rnacentral:rRNA from 1 species
GGACUACCGGGGUUUCUAAUCCCGUUUGCUCCCCUGGCUUUCGCGCCUCAGCGUCAGAAGAGGUCCAGCGGAUCGCUUUCGCCACCGGCGUUCCUUCCGAUAUCAACGCAUUUCACCGCUCCACCGGAAGUUCCAUCCGCCCCUACCUCCCUCAAGGCUCCCAGUAUCCAAGGCACUUUUCCGGUUGGGCCGAAAGAUUUCACCCCGGACUUGGGAACCCGCCUACGCGCCCUUUAAGCCCAGUGAUUCCGAACAACGUUCGCACGGUUCGUCUUACCGCGGCUGCUGGCAC